GCGACGGUAGCUCAGCGGUAGAGCACUCGGUUUACACCCGAGCGGUCGGCGGUUCGAAACCGUCCCGUCGCA
rnacentral:tRNA from 1 species